GGCGGCAGGCCUAACACAUGCAAGUCGAGCGGUAGCGGGCCUGACCACUCUCGAGUGGUUCAGGCGCCGACGAGCGGCGGACGGGUGCGUAACACGUAGGAAUCUGCCCGGUAGUGGGGGAUAGCCCGGAGAAAUUCGGAUUAAUACCGCAUACACCCUAAGGGGGAAAGCAGGGGAUCUUCGGACCUUGCGCUAUCGGAUGAGCCUGCGUCGGAUUAGCUAGUUGGUGGGGUAAAGGCCUACCAAGGCGACGAUCCGUAGCUGGUCUGAGAGGAUGAUCAGCCACACUGGGACUGAGACACGGCCCAGACUCCUACGGGAGGCAGCAGUGGGGAAUAUUGCACAAUGGGCGAAAGCCUGAUGCAGCCAUGCCGCGUGUGUGAAGAAGGCCCUAGGGUUGUAAAGCACUUUCAGUGGGGAGGAAAGGUCGAAGGUUAAUACCCUUUGGCUGUGACGUUACCCACAGAAGAAGCACCGGCUAACUCCGUGCCAGCAGCCGCGGUAAUACGGAGGGUGCGAGCGUUAAUCGGAAUUACUGGGCGUAAAGCGUGCGUAGGCGGCCAUUUAAGUUGGAUGUGAAAGCCCCGGGCUCAACCUGGGAACUGCAUCCAAAACUGGGUGGCUUGAGUGCGAGAGAGGAGUGUGGAAUUUCCUGUGUAGCGGUGAAAUGCGUAGAUAUAGGAAGGAACACCAGUGGCGAAGGCGACACUCUGGCUUGACACUGACGCUGAGGUACGAAAGCGUGGGGAGCAAACAGGAUUAGAUACCCUGGUAGUCCACGCCGUAAACGAUGUCUACUAGUUGUCGGUGGUCUUGUACUGCUGGUAACGCAGCUAACGCGAUAAGUAGACCGCCUGGGGAGUACG
rnacentral:rRNA from 1 species